GAACGGUAACAUUUGUAGCAAUACGAAUGCUAGAGUGGCGCAAGGGUGCGUAACACGUAUGCAAUCUGCCCUUAACAGGAGGAUAGCUCGGGGAAACUCGGAUUAAUACUCCAUGCGAUGUUUGAGAGGCAUCUUUCGAACAUGAAAGCUGAGGCAGUUAAGGAUGAGCAUGCGGAUGAUUAGCUAGUUGGUAGUGUAACGGACUACCAAGGCGAUGAUCAAUAGGGGAACUGAGAGGUUGAUCCCCCACACUGGCACUGAGAUACGGGCCAGACUCCUACGGGAGGCAGCAGUAGGGAAUAUUGGACAAUGGGUGAGAGCCUGAUCCAGCCAUGCCGCGUGCAGGAAGAAAGCCUUCUGGGUUGUAAACUGCUUUUACCUGGGGAUAAAACCCUCGUGCGCGAGGGAUUGAAGGUACCGGGAGAAUAAGCCACGGCUAACUACGUG
rnacentral:rRNA from 1 species